CACAGUCAGUCGUAAGGGCAAACCCUCUCUCUCCCCCCAAAUCGAUGGAGUCUGACGGCGAGGAGGAGGCGGCGGCGGCGACGCCGGGGACCGCCGGGGCGGCGCCGGCGGCGGGCCGGCUGAAGGGCUGCCCGGAGCUGUCGGUGGAGGGCGACAUGCGGGAGAUGGCGAAGACGGCGGCCUGGAGCGUCAGCUCCUGCAAGCCCGGCAACGGCGUCGCCUCCCUCCGCGACGACAGCCUCGACACCUACUGGCAGUCGGACGGCGCGCAGCCGCACCUGGUCAACAUCCAGUUCCAGAAGAAGGUGCAGCUGCAGCUUGUUGUGCUCUACGUGGAUUUCAAGCUGGACGAGAGCUACACGCCCAGCAAGAUCUCCAUCCGGGCCGGCGACGGCUUCCACAAUCUCAAGGAAAUUAAAACGGUGGACCUCUUGAAGCCAGUAGGAUGGGUUCAUAUAUCAUUAUCUGGCACUGACCCCAGUGUUGUAAUAUGCCAUUAGCUUCCAAUUUGACAUAUAAUUUGCCCACGAGUACACUCUAGGAAUAUGUGAGGAUUUCAGAACUAAUAGAAACAUUCAUUCAUACAUUUAUGCUCCAAAUCGCGGUGUUGGCGAAUCACCUGAACGGGAGGGACACCCAUGUCCGGCAGAUCAAGAUAUAUGGGCCACGACCGAACCCCGUUCCCCACCAGCCUUUCCACUUCACCUCUAGGGAAUGCAUCAUGUACUCCACCAUCAGGUGAUGGUUCAUGUCCUUCAUACCGGAGCCAAGGUGUGGACCUUGAUCGUGGCCUGCGCGCUUCAGUCUUCCGUGACGAACGCCGGCGUAGUCUCUGAAGUAUCCAGCGUGUGUGAACAUGUAUGUCGAUUAAGUUGCUGCUGGAGCAUUAGGCUGUCUCUGUGAACAUCUAACAUGUAGUACUAAUUCAUGUUGUAUUCCAUUCCAUCCAUGUAUUCUAGGUACAUCUUUUUCCUCCAUUUAAUGUAACAUUUCACUAUUUCUGGAAUGGAUUGGAAGUUUCUCCUGGUACAGCUACAGUGGAAGCCUUCCA